rnacentral:rRNA from 1 species
CAGUCGCCGCGGGAAUACGAAGGGUGCAAGCGUUAAUCGGAAUUACUGGGCGUAAAGCGUGCGUAGGCGGUCUGUUAAGUCUGUUGUGAAAUCCCCGGGCUCAACCUGGGAAUGGCAAUGGAUACUGGCAAGCUAGAGUGUGUCAGAGGAUGGUGGAAUUCCCGGUGUAGCAGUGAAAUGCGUAGAGAUCGGAAGGAACAUCUGUGGCGAAGGCGACUAUCUGGGCCAACACUGACACUGAGGCACGAAAGCGUGGGGAGCAAACAGGAUUAGAUACCCCUGUAGUCCCUGUCUCUUAUAC